UUUCUCUAAAUCACUUGGUCAGGAUUUUUAAAAGGUUCAAACAUGAAUGCAGUAAAAUAUUUGGUAGUAUUUGCUCUAUCUGUCGCUGUUGUGUCAGCUGCUAAAUUAGAUAUAUUAUUAAAUUCAAAUGAAAACCACGAUGCCGCUCAGGAGAGAUCUUUAGAAGAAAGGUCAGAGUGUGCUAAAUUUGGUGAUGAUUGUGCGCUAAUGGCGUCAUGGUGCUGUGAUGGGUUAAAAUGUGAUUCGGCGUGGAGUAGUGGCACCUGCAUGUACCCGUUUUAAUAUACCAGGAUAAUCUCGAAAAACAGCAAAACAACUCAUAACAUCUUACCAGAUCUGUUCCAACAUCUUUCUGAAACAUCAUUCGUUUUAAUCUUCAUUAAAAAAUGUUGUUUAGCUGUU